GACGAACGCUGGCGGCGUGCUUAACACAUGCAAGUCGAACGGAAAGGCCCUGCUUUUGUGGGGUGCUCGAGUGGCGAACGGGUGAGUAACACGUGAGUAUCCUGCCCUUGACUUUGGGAUAACUUCAGGAAACUGGGGCUAAUACAGGAUAGGAGCUCCUGCUGCAUGGUGGGGGUUGGUAAGUUUCGGCGGUUGGGGCUGGACUGGCGGCUUAUCAGCUUGUUGGUGGGGUAGUGGCUUACCAAGGCUUUGACGGGUAGCCGGCCUGAGAGGGUGACCGGCCACAUUGGGACUGAGAUACGGCGCAGACGCCUACGGUAGGCAGCAGUGGGGAAUAUUGCACAAUGGGGGGAAGCCUGAUACAGCAACGCUGCGUGCGGGAUGACGGCCUUCGGGUGGUAAACCGAUGUCGCAGGUGACGAAGCGUGAGUGACGGUAAUGGGUAAAGAAGCACCGGCUAACUACGUG
rnacentral:rRNA from 1 species